rnacentral:rRNA from 1 species
GACGAACGCUGGCGGCGUGCUUAACACAUGCAAGUCGAGCGGUAAGGCCCUUUCGGGGGUACACGAGCGGCGAACGGGUGAGUAACACGUGGGUGACCUGCCCUCAGCUCUGGGAUAAGCCUGGGAAACCGGUCUAAUACUGGAUAUGACUCCAUGACGCAUGUUGUGGGGUGGAAAGCCUUGUGCGGCUGAGGAUGGGCCCGCGGCCUAUCAGC